rnacentral:misc_RNA from 1 species
AACUUUUAACAAUGGAUCACUUGGCUCUCGCAUCGAUGAAGAACGCAGCGAAAUGCGAUACGUAAUGUGAAUUGCAGAAUUCAGUGAAUCAUUGAAUCUUUGAACGCACCUUGCGCCCCUUGGAAUUCCGAGGGGCACACCCGUUUGAGUGUCGUGAACAUCCUUCAACCUUUCUUGGUUUCUUAACCGGGGAAGGCUUGGACUUUGGGGGUCUUUCAUUGCUGGCCUCUUUGAAGCCAGCUCCUCCUAAAUGGAUUAGUGUGGUCUGCUUUGCCGAUCCUUGACGUGAUAAGAUGUUUCUACGUCUUGGGUUUCGCACUGUCGCUUUAGACCCCGCUUCUAACCGUCUUGCAUUCAAGACAGAGUUUUAAACCUUGACCUCAAAUCGGGUGAGACUACCCGCUGAACUUAAGCAUAUCAAUAAGCGGAGGCU